GGCGUAGAGAAAUCGAGUCCGAAUAGGGCGUCUAGUCGCUGGGUGUAGACCCGAAACCAAGUGAUCUAUCCAUGGCCAGGAUGAAGGUGAGGUAACACUUACUGGAGGUCCGAACCGACUAGUGUUGCAAAACUAGCGGAUGAGCUGUGGAUAGGGGUGAAAGGCUAAACAAACUUGGAAAUAGCUGGUUCUCUCCGAAAACUAUUUAGGUAGUGCCUCGCGUAUCACCUUUGGGGGUAGAGCACUGUUAUGGCUAGGGGGUCAUGGCGACUUACCAAACCAUUGCAAACUCCGAAUACCGAAGAGUGCAGCGCGGGAGACAGUGCACCGGGUGCUAACGUCCGGACACAAGAGGGAAACAACCCAGACCGCCAGCUAAGGUCCCUAAUAUUGGCUAAGUGGGAAACGAAGUGGGAAGGCUAAAACAGUCAGGAUGUUGGCUUAGAAGCAGCCAUCAUUUAAAGAAAGCGUAAUAGCUCACUGAUCGAGUCGUCCUGCGCGGAAGAUGUAACGGGGCUAAGCCAAUAACCGAAGCUGCGGAUGUGCUUAAUUGCACGUGGUAGGAGAGCGUUCUGUAGGCCUGUGAAGGUGGAUUGUGAAGUCCGCUGGAGGUAUCAGAAGUGCGAAUGCUGACAUGAGUAGCGUUAAAGGGGGUGAAAAGCCCCCUCGCCGAAAGCGCAAGGUUUCCUACGCAACGUUCAUCGGCGUAGGGUGAGUCGGCCCCUAAGGCGAGGCAGAGAUGCGUAGCUGAUGGGAAACAGGUUAAUAUUCCUGUACCGAUACAUAGUGCGAUGUGGGGACGAAGAAGGUUAGCUCAGCCGGGUGUUGGAUAUCCCGGUUCAAGCGUGUAGUCGUGGUCUCUAGGCAAAUCCGGAGAUCUUAGAUGAGGCGUGAUAACGAGGCGGCUUGCCGCCGAAGUGAGUGAUACCCAGCUUCCAGGAAAAGCCACUAAGCUUCAGCUAUGUACGACCGUACCGCAAACCGACACUGGUGCGCGAGAUGAGUAUUCUAAGGCGCUUGAGAGAACUCUGGAGAAGGAACUCGGCAAAUUGACACCGUAACUUCGGAAGAAGGUGUGCCUUGAGUAGGUGAAGCUGUGCAGGCUUAGCCCAAAGAGGUCGCAGAGAAUCGGUGGCUGCGACUGUUUAUUAAAAACACAGCACUCUGCAAAGACGAAAGUCGACGUAUAGGGUGUGACGCCUGCCCGGUGCUGGAAGAUUAAAUGAUGGGGUGCAAGCUCUUGACUGAAGUCCCAGUAAACGGCGGCCGUAACAAUAACGGUCCUAAGGUAGCGAAAUUCCUUGUCGGGUAAGUUCCGACCUGCACGAAUGGCGUAACGAUGGCCACACUGUCUCCUCCAGAGACUCAGCGAAGUUGAAAUGUUUGUGAUGAUGCAAUCUCCCCGCGGAAAGACGGAAAGACCCCAUGAACCUUUACUGUAGCUUUACAUUGGACUUUGAAUAGAUCUGUGUAGGAUAGGUGGGAGGCUUUGAAGUGGCGCCGCUAGGUGUCAUGGAGCCAACGUUGAAAUACCACCCUGGUGUGUUUGAGGUUCUAACCUUG
rnacentral:rRNA from 1 species